GAUUAUUAAUCGAGACGUGAGAUUGGUAAUUUUAUAGCGAUUAUGAUUAACAUAGAUUAUAAAUUGUCGAUAUUUUAACGGUCAUUGUGGUGUUAUUUAAUUUGAUUUUGUAAUUUUUAAAUGGUGGUUGUCAUGUCCUAACGAAUGCUUCUAUGGCCAGACCCGUUGGUUAAGAGUGCUGGCUUUAAUCGACAACGGAUAUAUUAAAUGGAUGGCAUUUGUUGUACGCUAGGUAUGCUUCAAUAACGGCUCAGCCUAUUGACCAAGAGUGCUGGCUCUAAUGGAUAACAGAUUUAUUACAUGGGCAAUCCAUUUUUUGUUAAAUUAAAUUAGUUUACUAUGAUACUGUUGUGUCCGGAUGAAUAUGAUGGAGAUUGCUGAUGGUUUUAGAUUUAUUGCACAGAUAGACUGCUAUUAUUUUGUUCUCUUCUUGGUGACUUCUCGCCGCCAAACAUAGCUUGGAGAAGACCGCUAUUGGCUCUCGGAGUUUAUCAAAAGCGCAUACAGAUAUUUCCAUUGAUUGUACUUUAAUUAUAAUACAAAAAAACUGUUUUUUUUUUUUUUAAAAGAAAAACUUUUUUUGUAUGUAAAUAUAUAUUAUAUAAAUAUUAUAUGGGGAAAAAAAAAUAUAUGUUUUACUCUACUUUAGCUGAAGAUGAUCAAGACUAUUUGAUUGAAAAUGAAAUAUCUUCCUCAGAAGAAGAAGAAGAGAUUGGAGAAGAAGAAAUAGUUUUGAAUACAUUAAUAAAUAACACAGAGAUAGAGGAGCACUAUAAAUAUGCCAUGAAUAAAAAAAUAUUCUUAAAAGAUGGACGAUAUUAUCCUUACAAGAAGAAACCUAUUGGUAUAGUUAGGGCGUUAAGAUGAGAGCAAUUUGUUUAAUAUUUAAAAAAAAAAAAAAAAAGCUUACAAUUAUUUCCCUUGUAAGAUUUUAAAUUUAAUAAAAUAUAAUAUUUUUAUUUUAUACAAUUCUGUCGUAUUUAUUUACACUAUAUGUAUUUGUGCAUAAUGAUUAUAAUAUUAAAUAUAAGUCUGUAGUAAUAAGCAGUACAAAGAUGAGUUUUACACAUUAAAUAUAUACAGCAAAUUUAGUAUACGCUAUGGUAUUUGUAGCACGUUGUACUAUGUAUGGUAUGUAGUAGGCUAUUUAUAAAAGUAGUAGGGACACUGUGUCGGUUUACCGAACAGUGAUCCUGGAAUCGUAUAAUCUCGAUUUAACAAGUCUGAACAUGUUAAAACCUGUCUGAACGCAUUCAAAUCCCUGUUCAUCCUGUUUGAACCCCGUCUCAACGUGUUUACAAUCGUUUGUACCAUAUUUAUCGGCAACAAUUAGACUAAUUAUUGCUAUUGAGUUUAAAUUAGUUAAUAAUUUCAUCGUGAUAUAUGCAUAGCGCUAUACGUUAUAGGGGUUUCCAUAUAAAUGGAUGUUGCUUUAAACUUGUGUAUGGUACGCGUUGAGUACGUGUUUGAUGUGCUGCAUUCUCUAUACGCAAAACUUACGUCACUGACUUUGAAAACGAAUUCGAUUGUUUGGUACGCGGUGAAGAUUCGAUAAUGGAACACAAGCGUAAAAGUCCUCAAUGUCACUUCUUUAGAGACAGUUCAGCGUAUGAUGUUUGUGGCUUGUACGGUUUUCCACCCUCUGCAAUUAGCUCUAGUAUGAAAGCCGCAAAUUUACUAGAAAUGGUCCGUCAAAUUAAAACUCCU